CUGUGCUCUUCCGAUUGACACUCUCUCCCAUUCUGCUUUCCAGGAAUUCAGGCUGCUGGCACCGAUAUUCCCGUAAGC